GCCAGAGACCGAUAGCGCACAAGUAGAGUGAUCGAAAGAUGAAAAGCACUUUGGAAAGAGAGUUAAACAGUACGUGAAAUUGUUGAAAGGGAAGCGCUUGCAAUCAGACUUGCGCGGCGUCGAUCAACCAGGGUUCUCCCUGGUGCACUCGGCGCUGCUCAGGCCAGCAUCAGUUUCAGCGGUUGGAUAAAGGCCUAGGGAACGUGGGUUACUUCGGUGACUGUUAUAGCCCUAGGUGCAAUGCAGCCUGUUGGGACUGAGGACCGCGCUUCGGCUAGGAUGCUGGCGUAAUGGUUGUAAGCGACCCGUCUUGAAACACGGACCAAGGAGUGUAAUAUUUAUGCGAGUUUUUGGGUGUUAAACCCAUAAGCGUAAUGAAAGUGAACGGAGGUGAGAACCCUUAAGGGUGCAUCAUCGACCGAUCCUGAUGUCUUCGGAUGGAUUUGAGUAAGAGCAUAACUAUUGCGACCCGAAAGAUGGUGAUCUAUACUUGAAUAGGGUGAAGCCAGAGGAAACUCUGGUGGAGGCUCGCAGCGGUUCUGACGUGCAAAUCGAUCGUCAAAUUUGAGUAUAGGGGCGAAAGACUAAUCGAA
rnacentral:rRNA from 1 species